UUUAAUUCUGUUUGAUUCAGUGGAUUAGACAAAAACAUUUUCAUUUGGUUGUUUUAUCUGAAUUCAAUUGAAUUUCCUUCAAUUGAACUCAACUAAAAACAAAAGACAAAGAAACUUUUAACUUUAACUUUGAGCAGCACAUAACAAAACUUGUACAAACAUGCUUUUAUCAACUAAGGAACAUUGCCAGAGUGUGACCUAUUUCAAGUUUUAAAAAUACAGAUUUUACAUACUUUUAUCUCAUCACUUCUGGAUUACUGCAACAGACUUUUUUACAUGCCUAAAUAGAAAAACCGUAGACUGGCUACAGACAGUACAGAACUCAGCUGCCAGGCUUUUAACCAGAGGAAACAGGUUUGAACACAUCAUCCCGGUUUUACACUGGCUUCCACUGAACUGAUUUCAAGGUUCCUUUAAUUACUUUCAAGGCACAAAAAUCUUUUUAUUCCUGUAUGACCCUGCUCACACUUUGAGAUCCUCGGCGGGGGCCUUCUAUCUGUUCCAGACUCUUGGCCGAAGACUAAAGGAGACAAAGUUUUGAAAUAAGAGCCCUGAGGCUCUAGAACAUCCUGCCAAGGAAAUAAGGCAGGCCGAGUACAAGUCAGAGCUGGACAGCACUGUGGCACUGCAGGUACUUCCAGGCCAGCCAGCGUACACAUCAGUGAAACUGAGCAAAUUCAACAUCUGAAUUUGCAGCAGAUGCGCCAGAUGUUGGGGAGCAAUGUCUGACACGUGACCCCAUCCUGAUAUUCAAGGUCAUCAGCCAGGUGACACCCCUGUUGGUGCUGUACCUCCUGUCUCGAGGCAACCCUCUCAGCGUGUGUGUGUGUGCCAAAGAUGCAGAGAAAUACCGACAUUCAUGGUGAGAAAGUGCCGCAACCAACAGCCUGACAAGUGAAUCUCAACGCUGCCUCACAUGCAGGCCUACAUCUUGCAGGUGGGAGUCUUACGCCUUGCCAGGAGGAUGUGGAAUAACAUCCGAGCAGUAGCGGACCUUCUGGAUGCAGGGCAGGACACCAGACAGUUUGUUGCAUGACAGUAUGGGACUCUGGGUCCUGGUCACAGAGUCGUCAUACCAAGCUGCUGUGUCUGGUAGUCGUUAUCUAAAUCCUCAUGGACAGUAAAGGGGUUUCAUACCAAGGAGAGUGUAACUUAUCCCUUUGCAAUUGUAAAUAGUUGAUUAUUGCACAAGUAUUAUACUGUAGUAAUGUAAAUAGGUUUGUUUUUUUAUAACUAU